UACAGGAGGGGGCAAGCGUUGUUCGGAAUUACUGGGCGUAAAGGGCGCGUAGGCGGCCUUCUAAGUCGAACGUGAAAUCCCCGGGCUCAACCCGGGAACUGCGUCCGAUACUGGAAGGCUUGAAUCCGGGAGAGGGAUGUGGAAUUCCAGGUGUAGCGGUGAAAUGCGUAGAUAUCUGGAGGAACACCGGUGGCGAAGGCGACAUCCUGGACCGGUAUUGACGCUGAGGCUCGAAAGCGUGGGGAGCAAACAGG
rnacentral:rRNA from 1 species